GGAGGAGCCGGCUGGUCACGGACACGCCGCUGGAAACGGCGUACGGGCUGAUCCCCGUCGUGGGUUCGAAUCCCACCUCCUCCGCCA
rnacentral:tRNA from 1 species